UGCAGUUGGGGAACCAAGCUGUAUACUCGUGUAACCGAAUUAACGUUUAAGCGUCAUGCAAUGGCGUCGGCCACGAGGGCCACAUCUGUGGCUUUUUUU
rnacentral:sRNA from 1 species